GCCUGGUUGGCUAAGUCGGUUGAGCAUCUGACUUUGGCUCAGAUCAUGGUCUCACGGCUCCUGAGUUCCAGCCCCGCAUCAGGCU
rnacentral:tRNA from 1 species